GUGUAAUGCAACAAAAAAUCAGAUGAAACACUUAUUGAGUAAAAGUAUUUUGAAUGAAUUUCUCCCAGUGUUCAUGACUUUUUUUAAUACUUUAAAAUCAGGCUAGUUUUGAAAUUCAUCUCCAGAUACUGUGAGAAAAUUGCAGAUUUUGGGACCAGAGCGUGUGAACAGCUGUAAAAGAUUACAACAGAAUCGUUUAAAAAAAAUGGAUAAAGUUAUGUAAGUUAAAAAACCCAAACCAACAACACCAAAACCACCACACAUUUGACAUGUCGAAUAGAAACAGUUUGCAACCUGAAUGUUAAAAGACUGGUGUGUGCACGUAAAAUGUGAUUUGUUUUUCAAAUGCACUGUUCAGUACAUCUUAGGGAUUCUUGCAAUUUCAAAUGACAUUUCUCUUUGAGCAUAUUUUAACCUGCGCUUUAUCUAAGGAAAUGCUUGAAGUAGCAAUAACUGGAAAAGACCACAGAGGCCAAAAGUUUUCUGCUUUUUUCUUGUUUAGUUUCUCUGUCUGGCAACAGUUUGUGAUCUGUCAGUUUAGUGUGUGCAGAAGAUCUGUGCAUAGCAGACAAGUGAAAUGUUGUGGUCCUGCAAUCCCAAGACUUUCCAAACAGGCUGAGAUACAGGUACAGCAUUUGAUGCUAUCGGAUUCUUUUUUCUUGGAGCAUGAAAAUUUUGCAUGUUUUGGGGAAGACAAAGGUAGUAAAAGGGUCCAAGGCUAUUUACAAGCAAGCAUCUGAGUUAGGAGAACAUGCUUUCCUGCUUCUCUUUAGCCAGAUUCUUCAUGUUCCUUUCAACUGAAACAGUUAUGAUGGCUGGCCACACACAGUGCCUGAAGAUGUGAAAAUGUAUUUUGAAAAGCAGCAAAGCCUCAUCACAGAGUUGAAUAAAGAGCGAGACUUGAAGUUGCUUAGGAAAAGGGAAGAUGCAAAAGAAGACAGUAAAUACUUAGUAAGAGGAGGCAAGGGUUAAGGCCUGGGACCACAGAACAGCUGGAAUAUGUUAGUUUUACAGGAAGGCAGCCCAGAGAGACAGUGUGAAUUGCCAGCAGGUGGCUGGGAAUCGCUGGAUAACUUGGAAGUGGUGGGACUCUGCUUCUUACUGUGAUGACUCGACUAAUUUCACCCAAAGCCUGUUUUUCUAUAUAACAGCAGACCUUUGUCAAAGCCCAUUGAAGUAAAUUUAGCAUUUUCUUUAAACAUAAUAGGUUCUGGAUCUGGCCCCUGAUUGUUUUGACACUUUUUGUUUGCUGUAUCCUUUAAAGAUUUACGUUAUUCCUUCUCUGAAGAGGGAAAAAGGACUGGUUGACUGCAAGACAGGCUUCAAAGUGUGAGACACUGAUGUGUCCCUUGGAGAAACUGCCUUAGAGUCAAGCAGACACUGUUUUGUUAAGAGAAGAUGCAAGCAGACAAGUGUGGGAAGAAAGGUCUGCUGGGGUUUCUCUCCCUUCUGCGGUAAGGAAAGCUAUGUUGACAGAGACAGCUGCUCUCACCACAGUGACACUUUGCUGUAAUUUGCAAUACUGGUCUGUGUUCUGCAGAAUUCUUAAUCAUAAAGUGGGCUUUGCUCUGGGUGGCACUAUACAAACACAAGAGGCUGUCCCUGGCCCAAAGACCUUGCAGUGUAGGUGUAAAACGAGAUGACAGCAAGUGGACACGGAGACAGGCAAACAGAAGGACCCAAUGACAGUGCAAUUCUGGUAGCAUAGCAUGGCAGUUUUCUCAACAU